rnacentral:rRNA from 1 species
CGUGGAUUAGCGGCGGACGGGUGAGUAACACGUGAGUAACCUGCCUUAGACAUUGGGAUAGCCUCGGGAAACCGGGAUUAAUACCAAAUAAAAUCAUAAUGACACAUGUCAUAACGAUCAAAACUCCGGUGGUCUAAGAUGGACUCGCGUCCCAUUAGCUAGUUGGUAGAGUAAAAGCCUACCAAGGCGACGAUGGGUAGCCGGCCUGAGAGGGUGAACGGCCACAUUGGAACUGAGAAACGGUCCAA